GGGGCGUUGGCCGAGAGGUCCAAGGCAGCGGCUUGCUAAGCCGUGGUCGCUCACGCGGCCCACUCGUUCGAAUCGAGUACGCCCCGCCA
rnacentral:tRNA from 1 species